GACGAACGCUGGCGGCGUGCUUAACACAUGCAAGUCGAACGGAAAGGCCCUGCUUUUGUGGGGUGCUCGAGUGGCGAACGGGUGAGUAACACGUGAGUAACCUGCCCUUGACUUUGGGAUAACUUCAGGAAACUGGGGCUAAUACCGGAUAGGAGCUCCUGCUGCAUGGUGGGGGUUGGAAAGUUUCGGCGGUGGGGGAUGGACUCGCGGCUUAUCAGCUUGUUGGUGGGGUAGUGGCUUACCAGGGCUUUGACGGGUAGCCGGCCUGAGAGGGUGACCGGGCACAUUGGGACUGAGAGAGGGCCCAGACUCCUACGGGAGGCAGCAGUGGGGAAUAUUGCACAAUGGGCGGAAGCCUGAUGCAGCAACGCCGCGUGCGGGAUGACGGCCUUCGGGUUGUAAACCGCUUUCGACUGUGACGAAGCGUGAGUGACGGUAAUGGGUAAAGAAGCACCGGCUAACUACGUG
rnacentral:rRNA from 1 species